rfam:Triticum urartu cultivar G1812 contig850781, whole genome shotgun sequence.
UCGUUACUCCCUCCGUUCUAAAUUACUUGUCUUGGAUUUGUCUAGAUACGGACGUAUCUAGACUCAUUUUAGUGUUAGAUACUUCCGUAUAUAGACAAAUCUAAAACAAGUAAUUCGAAACGGAAGAAGUACAUU